rnacentral:tRNA from 1 species
UGGCUAGUAGCAUAAAAAGUGCUUCUUUUUUUGGUGGAGAAAGUGGAUAAAAUCCCUAGCUAA